GCUUAUGGCCAUACCACCCUGAGAACGCCCGAUCUCGUUUGAUCUCGGAAGCUAAGCAGGGUCGGGUCUGGUUAGUACUUGGAUGGGAGACCGCCUGGGAAUACCAGGUGCUGUAAGCU
rnacentral:rRNA from 1 species